CCUACGGGUGGCAGCAGUGAGGAAUAUUGGUCAAUGGACGAGAGUCUGAACCAGCCAAGUAGCGUGACGGAUGACUGCCCUAUGGGUUGUAAACUUCUUUUAUAUGGGAAUAAAAUGUUCCACGUGUGGGAUUUUGUAUGUACCAUAUGAAUAAGGAUCGGCUAACUCCGUGCCAGCAGCCGCGGUAAUACGGCGGAUCCGAGCGUUAUCCGGAUUUAUUGGGUUUAAAGGGAGCGUAGGUGGAUAGUUAAGUCAGUUGUGAAAGGUUGCGGCUCAACCGUUAAAUUGCAGUUGAAACUGGCAGUCUUGAGUACAGGAGAGGUGGGCGGAAUUCGUGGUGUAGCGGUGAAAUGCGUAGAUAUCACGAAGAACACCGAUGGCGAAGGCAGCUCACUGGACUGCAACUGACACUGAGGCUCGAAAGUGUGGGGAUCAAACAGGAUUAGAUACCCUAGUAGUC
rnacentral:rRNA from 1 species